GUUGUAGUAUUUUAGUGCAUUGUUCUAUGUUGUUAAAGUGUAGUUAAGCUUGGAUGCGUUUUAAUUUCAAUGGCUAGCUACCAUUUAAAAGGUUACUAUUUUGCUGGGGACAGUUGCUCAACAUUAAUAAAUUUUUUUUAUCUUUAUUUUCUUUCGUUACCAAUGUCCAGUCUUGUUAGAGGAAUGUAUUAAAAAUCACAUGUUAGUCUAAAUUGAUUAACGAUGUAAUAUGUAGUUAUUGCUAUGAGGAGAAAUUUCAUUCCUUAUGCAAUUAAUAUUUAAUUUUGAUAACUGUUAAGCAGGAUGUUGGUGAAGACUUAGGCAUCAUUUCAAGAGAACUUAUUCUGUAAGCAUGUUUUCUGUCCUUGAAGUUGUAACUCAUGGUGCAUAAUUUGUGGUAAUGUGUUUGUUACACAUUGAUAUAUUGGAGUUCAAAAAUGUUUUUAUUAAAAGGAUUUGAUAAUAUGUUUUCAAAUGUUGAAUAUUGCUAGGCAAGCUUACUACAUGUCACCUACAAGGUUGUCAGAAGGCUUCUGAAGAGAAAUUUUUUUCUCUGGGGUGAAUUCACUAAGAUUGGCUGCCAUCAUGUCAUGGGCAAUCAUUUUUUGACUGUAGUAAGAGCUACUGUGGGUUGCCUCAUUUCAGUGUAGUUUAUAGUAUGGAUGACUGGAUGAUAUGUUUGCAGUGAAACAGAACUUUGCUGCUGAUUUGAGGGUUAAUCCUCCAUUGCACAUGCAUGCUGUAUCAUGUACUUCCUAAUUGGCAAUUUUUGGUUGUGGCAUGAUAUUCAAAUGAAAGAUGUUUCAAGAAACAUUAAACCAAUGCUUCAUAAUCAGGCAGCCUGUUGCCAUGCUGUGGGAUGUUAGCUGAACCUCCUUCAAUGUGAAGGUUACUGUUUAACACUUUCAGAUUUUUCAAUGUGUUUAUUUAGGUAGUCAUUUGUUGAGGGUGAAAUUUGCAUUACUUCAGUGAUUUUGACAUGUUGCAGUGGAUGGCUAGGUUGCAUUGAGCCAAAACUCAUGAUGCUGAUUUGAGGGUUAAUUGAUCAUGCAAGCUGUUUCAUGUGGUUCUUAAUCAGAAAUUCUUGGUUUUGGUAUGAUAUUCAAGUAAACAAGGAGUCUAUUAUGCUGUUUGCCAUUAGCCGAUCCUGUUACAUGUUAAAGGUGUUUGGAGCCAUCUCUAAGUGAAGUUUUCUUUUCAAUUUGGUGAACUGGGGAACAACAUGCUGUACCUGGAAUGAAUCAAUCCCCUGAAACACUCCUAAUACAACCAGAAAAAUGCUAUAAACUGUGAAAGAGGAACAGAAAUUAUUCCUGUUUCUUUGUUGUCCUUAAACUUAUAUUUCUCCAUGUUCAAAUAUUUACAACAACAAAAAUGUUGGUAUUGUUUCUUUGUUUUCUGUGGUCAUGUUUCUUCAUGAUUUGUGAUAAACCAGUUGUGCUUAUGUUUUGGAUUUAACAUACUGAUAAUUGUUAAAUCUUCAAUAAAAAAUAUUGAAAAAUAA